GCCAGUGUAGUUCAGUGGUUAGAGUGUCGGCCUGAGCACCAGAGGGUCACAGGUUUGAUUCCUGUCAAGGGCA
rnacentral:tRNA from 1 species